UACGUAGGGGGCAAGCGUUUUGUCCGGAUUUACUGGGCGUAAAGAGCGUGUAGGCGGCCAAACAGGUCCGUUGUGAAAACUGGAGGCUCAACUUCCAGACGUCGACGGAAACCGUGUGGCUAGAGUCCGGAAGAGGAGAGUGGAAUUCCUGGUGUAGCGGUGAAAUGCGCAGAUAUCAGGAAGAACACCAAUGGCGAAGGCAGCUCUCUGGGACGGUACUGACGCUGAGACGCGAAAAGCGUGGGGAGCGAACAGG
rnacentral:rRNA from 1 species